GAAAACGGGGGGCCAGUGGUUAAGGCGAUGGGCUGCUAAUCCAUUGGGGCUCUGCCCGCGUGGGGUUUGAAUCCCAUCCCUUUUCG